GUCCACGCUGUAAACGAUGAACACUUGUUGUUGGAGGUAUUGACCCCUUCAGUGACGAAGCUAACGCGUUAAGUGUUCCGCCUGGGGAGUACGGUCGCAAGAUUAAAACUCAAAGAAAUUGACGGGGGCCCGCACAAGCGGUGGAGCAUGUGGUUUAAUUCGAUGCAACGCGAAAACCUUACCUGGGCUCGAAAUGUACGGGAAGUAAGCAGAGAUGUUUACGUCUUCGGACCCGUAUAUAGGUGCUGCAUGGCUGUCGU
rnacentral:rRNA from 1 species